AUUGAACGCUGGCGGCAGGCCUAACACAUGCAAGUCGAGCGAGUGGCGGACGGGUGAGUAAUGUCUGGGAAACUGCCUGAUGGAGGGGGAUAACUACUGGAAACGGUAGCUAAUACCGCAUACCAUCGGAUGUGCCCAGAUGGGAUUAGCUAGUAGGUGGGGUAAAGGCUCACCUAGGCGACGAUCCCUAGCUGGGCUGAGAGGAUGACCAGCCACGCUGGAACUGGGACACGGGCCAGACUCCUACGGGAGGCAGCAGUGGGGAAGAUUGCACAAUGGGGGCAAGCCUGAUACAGCCAUGCCGCGUGUAGGAAGAAGGCCUUCGGGUUGUAAAGUACUUUCAGCGGGGAGGCGUUACCCGCAGAAGAAGCACCGGCUAACUCCGUGCCAGCAGCCGCGGUAAUUC
rnacentral:rRNA from 1 species